GUGCCAGUGCGGUGCCACCGUCAAAUUGCAGCAUUUCCCUAAUCUCACGUAAUUAGUUGAGUUAAUCAAUUACUAGUAGUAAUAAAUAAAUGAAUAAAAUGAUAAAGUUAAAGUUAUCUAUCUGGUCUGGUCAGUUAAUGACUGCAAAAUCUUUUGCAAGUAAAGAAACAGUCAACGGAAGGUGGUAAUAAGCUUUGAGGCUCCUCCGAUCAGAUUUGUCUGUGUGUCUCUGCAAAUCCCAAAGUUAUGUCCUCGCUUCUUGAGAGUUGAUCUGUCUCGUAGCGCAAAAUCUCUGUCUCAGAUCGAUCUGAGCUUUUCUUUUGGACUCCACUGCCCAUUUUUGUUUCUCUGGCUUCUACACCUUUUGUGUUGUAUUUUCUAGUUGGUUUUAUUCUGACGAUGAUGAAGGUAUAAGUGUGUAUUUGAAUAGAGAGCUCCACGCCAUGAACACCGUCGUUGCUAAGUUGCAGAGACAGUUUCAAGACUACCUCGUUUCUCUUUAUCAACAGGGAUUUCUGGAUAAUCAGUUCACUGAGUUGAGAAAGUUGCAAGAUGAAGGCACUCCUGAUUUUGUAGCUGAGGUUGUCUCUCUUUUCUUUGACGACUGUUCCAAGCUUAUUAAUAGCAUGUCUAGAUCACUGGAGAGGCCAGAAAAUGUGGAUUUCAAACAGGUUGAUUCAGGGGUGCAUCAACUCAAGGGUAGUAGCUCAAGUGUUGGUGCAAGGAGGGUAAAAAAUGUGUGUAUAUCUUUCAAGGAAUGUUGUGAUGUUCAGAACCGUGAAGGGUGAGUGCUGUCCAAAACAAGUUGCCACCUUUUUCUCCAGUGUGUUUAAGGUGUCUGCAGCAGGUGGAUUAUGAAUAUAAGAUGCUAAAGACCAAACUUCAGGAUCUCUUCAAUCUAGAGAAACAGAUCGUCCAAGCCGGAGGUGCGAUUCCUCAGGUGAAUAUAAAUUAGACUGAUGGUCUUCUUGAUUUUGCUGAAUGCUCAAAAUACAUGAUGAAACGGAUAUUCCUAGGUAGUAUUUAUUGUUGUUGUUGCUGUUGUAAUGUUCUAUAUUUGAUUGGUGUGGUUCAUCAAAGCAUUUUCCUAGUUACACUAUUCUUCGUCCUGACAUCCGCCCUUGUCUAGACGCUUGAUUGUGUUGUAACAGUACAAGUGAAGUAUAAGUUUAUAACUAGACAUGUCCUAAUGUUCUAGUAAUGAAAAUCUGGUUUAUGUGUGUAUUAAUCAACAAUGAUUUUGUCUAAGCAAUGAAUACUGCACCAGUUCUGUUA